rnacentral:rRNA from 1 species
UCAAGUUAGGAAGGGCUCAUGGUGGAUGCCUUGGCGCCAGGAGGCGAUGAAGGACGUGGCCAGCUGCGAUAAGCCUCGGGGAGCUGCAAGCGAGCGUUGAUCCGGGGAUUUCCGAAUGGGGCAACCUGCUGCGGGUCAUGCCGCAGCACCUGCGGCCCAAGUUCAUUAAGCUGCAGGGGCCAUACCCGGGGAACUGAAACAUCUUAGUACCCGGAGGAAAAGAAAGCAACAGCGAUUCCCUUAGUAGCGGCGAGCGAACGGGGAUGAGCCCAAACCGGGCCGGUGUAUGAGCUUACCGGCGCUGCUGGUCCGGGGUUGUGGGGCCGGUCUUCAAGGCGGGCGGUAACCUGCCUUUAAGAGUUACCAACCGUUCUGGUAGGCGAAGACGCCUGGAAAGGUGCACCGCAGAAGGUAAAAGUCCUGUAGCCGAAACUGGGGCGGCUCUUAGGACCGGUUCCCGAGUAGCACGGGGCACGAGGAAUCCCGUGUGAAUCCGGGAGGACCACCUCCCAAGGCUAAAUACUACCUGGCGACCGAUAGCGGAUAGUACCGUGAGGGAAAGGUGAAAAGAACCCCGGGAGGGGAGUGAAAUAGAACCUGAAACCAUGGGCCUACAAGCAGUCAGAGCACGAUUGAGGGGUUUUCCUCUCAUGUGUGAUGGCGUACUUUUUGUAGAACGGGCCGGCGAGUUACGGUCGGUAGCGAGGUUAAGGGACUUAGUCCUGGAGCCGCAGCGAAAGCGAGUCUUAAAAGGGCGUUUAGUUACCGGCUGUAGACCCGAAACCGGGUGAUCUACCCAUGGCCAGGGUGAAGCUCGGGUGAUGCUGAGUGGAGGCCCGCACCCACCGAUGUUGAAAAAUCGGGGGAUGAGCUGUGGGUAGGGGUGAAAAGCCAACCGAACUCGGAGAUAGCUGGUUCUCCCCGAAAUAGCUUUAGGGCUAGCCUCGGGGGUUCAGUUGCGGAGGUAGAGCACUGAUUGAGCUAGGGGCCCAGUAAGGUUACCGAACUCACUCAAACUCCGAAUGCCGCAACUUCAUACCCCGGGAGUCAGACUACGGGUGAUAAGAUUCGUGGUCGAGAGGGGAACAGCCCAGACCGUCGGCUAAGGUCCCCAAGUGCAGGCUCAGUGGGAAAGGAUGUGGAGCUGCCCAGACAACCAGGAUGUUGGCUUAGAAGCAGCCAUCAUUUAAAGAGUGCGUAAUAGCUCACUGGUCAAGUGGUUCUGCGCCGAAAAUGUAACGGGGCUAAGCCUGCCACCGAAGCCACGGCCCGGCACUCAACAAAGUUGAGUGCUGGGGGUAGGGGAGCGUUCUGCAUGCGUGGAAGCUGUACCGUGAGGAGCGGUGGAGCGUGCAGAAGUGAGAAUGCCGGCAUGAGUAGCGAUAAGACAGGUGAGAAUCCUGUCCGCCGCAAGCCUAAGGUUUCCUGAGGAAGGCUCGUCCUCUCAGGGUAAGCCGGGACCUAAGCUGAGGCCGGAUGGCGUAGGCGAUGGGGAACUGGUUGAGAUUCCAGUGCCACCUUAAGACCGUUACGAGCGAUGGGGUGACGCAGGAGGGUAGGCGCAGCGCACCGUUGGUUGAGUGCGUCCAAGCGUGUAGGGAGAGCCGGUAGGCAAAUCCGCCGGCUUGCUAAUCCUGAGGCGCGAUGGGGAGCGAAAUUUCAAGUAGCGAACUGGCUGAUCCCAAGCUGCCGAGAAAAGCCUCUAGCCAGGUCUUGGGGUGCCCGUACCGCAAACCGACACAGGUAGGCGGGGAGAGUAUCCUCAGGCGCGCGGGAGAACCCUCGUUAAGGAACUCGGCAAAUUGACCCCGUAACUUCGGGAGAAGGGGUGCCUCGUUAGGGUGAGUGUCCUUUGCGGCGCGAGCCCGAGGGGGCCGCAGAGAAUAGGCCCAAGCGACUGUUUAUCAAAAACACAGGUCUCUGCCAAGUCGAAAGACGAAGUAUAGGGACUGACGCCUGCCCGGUGCUGGAAGGUUAAGGGGAGGGGUUAUCUGGUGCUCGUUUGAGUGCUGGAGAAGCUCUGAACCUAAGCCCCAGUAAACGGCGGCCGUAACUAUAACGGUCCUAAGGUAGCGAAAUUCCUUGUCGGGUAAGUUCCGACCCGC